rnacentral:rRNA from 1 species
AAAGAUUAAGCCAUGCAUGUCUAAGUAUAAGCAAUUAUACCGCGAAACUGCGAAUGGCUCAUUAUAUAAGUUAUCGUUUAUUUGAUAAUACUUUACUACUUGGAUAACCGUGGUAAUUCUAGAGCUAAUACAUGCUAAAAAUCCCGACUUCGGAAGGGUUGUAUUUAUUAGAUUAAAAACCAAUGCCCCUCGGGGCUCUCUGGUGAAUCAUGAUAACUAGUCGAAUCGACAGGCCUUGUGCCGGCGAUGGCUCAUUCAAAUUUCUUCCCUAUCAACUUUCGAUGUUUGGGUCUUGUCCAAACAUGGUGGCAACGGGUAACGGAGGGUUAGGGCUCGACCCCGGAGAAGGAGCCUGAGAAACGGCUACUACAUCCAAGGAAGGCAGCAGGCGCGCAAAUUACCCAAUCCCGACACGGGGAGGUAGUGACAAUAAAUACUGAUACAGGGCUCUUUUGGGUCUUGUAAUCGGAAUGAGUACAAUUUAAAUCCCUUAACGAGGAACAAUUGGAGGGCAAGUCUGGUGCCAGCAGCCGCGGUAAUUCCAGCUCCAAUAGCGUAUAUUAAAGUUGUUGUGGUUAAAAAGCUCGUAGUUGAACCUUGGGCCUGGCUGGCCGGUCCGCCUCACCGCGUGCACUGGUCCGGCCGGGCCUUUCCCUCUGCGGAACCCCAUGCCCUUCACUGGGUGUGGCGGGGAAACAGGACUUUUACUUUGAAAAAAUUAGAGUGCUCAAGGCAGGCCUAUGCUCGAAUACAUUAGCAUGGAAUAAUAGAAUAGGACGUGUGGUUCUAUUUUGUUGGUUUCUAGGACCGCCGUAAUGAUUAAUAGGGACAGUCGGGGGCAUCAGUAUUCAAUUGUCAGAGGUGAAAUUCUUGGAUUUAUUGAAGACUAACUACUGCGAAAGCAUUUGCCAAGGAUGUUUUCAUUAAUCAGGAACGAAAGUUAGGGGAUCGAAGACGAUCAGAUACCGUCGUAGUCUUAACCAUAAACUAUGCCGACUAGGGAUCGGACGAUGUUACAUUUUUGACGCGUUCGGCACCUUACGAGAAAUCAAAGUGCUUGGGCUCCAGGGGGAGUAUGGUCGCAAGGCUGAAA